UGCAGGAUCUGCUGGAGCCCCUGCUCGUCGGGCUUCCACUCGUACUCCAUCUUGGCUGCCUGGAAAACAGCAGACAACAGGCGGCCGCGACAUCGUGUUUGUAAGCAUCCUGCUUGUCUAACGGAAAACUAGAAACGGAAACUCACUUAGCACAACACUGGGUAUGAGCGCUGCUGGCACACAGCAUAGUGGUAACUGCCCAGAGGCACAGAGGAUGGAAUAUUUCUGACUGCUGUAUAUCCCAGGACCUGCUUCCUUCCCUCCAGAGAGAAACUCAGAAUCAGUGUUAAAACAUAGUCACAGGAAUAAAAGUUACCCAUCAAAACAUAUGAUGGCCUUCUUCAUCCCACUCAAUCAGUGGAAAGCACCAGAAAUAAACUUGAAACACCACAUCUACAUACAUUAACAAGACAGAAGCUCACCAAAGACAGGAGAUUGGCGCAAACACUGAAGCCAAAAUUUGAUUUCUGUUUCUAUCCAAGCUUCAGAUGCACUCUAGACAUAAUCCAGUGGUAUCAAAACAAAUUGUAUUAUUAAAAAGUAACAUAUCCAAACAAAACAAAACCCCACCAAAAUACAACCAAAACACUGAGUUAGUCUGAUCUUUCUUGAUAACAUUUACCUUCUUAUAUUUGAAUAUCUACAAAGAGUGCAGAGGUACAUUUUUUUGUUUUGUUUUGUUGCCAAAAAUACCCUUCCUCUGUCAGGCUUGACUAGUGGGUCAGGCUAAAAUGACACUUUUCAGUCAUUUCUCAUAAAAGGAUACAGAGGCUAUCUGCAAGAUAAGGCAGAACUACCCUGCUCAGCAAGGAAUGAGCUAUCAGUCCUAGAAGUCGGAAACUGACUGUCACCACCAGAGCUGUAAUCUCAGGCCUGAGCACUUUCACAGGAUAUACAGAGAACAACACGCUGCUCAUUCAACAAAACACCUGCAGUACUGUUCUGAGAAAAAUUCAGCUCUGCAGAAGAGCAAGGUGUGCAGGAGCACAGACAGGGCCGGAGCUGCCCAGGGCUGCACCCGCCCCACGCCGGGAGCUGCGCUGUGCGUGGCCCAGGGCAGACGGUCUGGGUCUGUGGGUUGGGGCUGAGCAGGAGUGGGACCAGGUGUGUGCGCCGCGUGUGGCUGGGGGGUGGGAGCCACUGCAGGUUGAGGGCGCUGCCUCUCAUUUCCUGAUGGAGCAGCGGUCCUGUGGUCGUGGCUAAACUUCAGUAAAAAUUUUGAACGUUUGCCUUUGGGUCUUGUUUCUUCCAUAUUUGCAGACUGUCCCAAGCCAAUUUUGUGACAGAGCUGCUGAACCAAACAGGUCUAUUUAAGUCAAAUGGAAACGUGAAAAUGAUGUCACCUUAUGUCCUUCCAUCUAGGGGACUUCCACCAAUUGCUGCU